AUUGAACGCUGGCGGCAGGCCUAACACAUGCAAGUCGAGCGGAUGCAGGGUGAUUGCUCGUGGAUUCAGCGGGGGACGGGUGAGUAAUGCCGAGGAAUCUGCCUGGUUGUGGGGGAUAACGUCCGGAAACGGGCGCUAAUACCGCAUACCUGCAGAGGGAGAAAGUGGGGGAGCAUCGGACCUUACGCUAUCAGAUGAGUCUAGGUCGGAUUAGCUAGUUGGUGGGGUAAAGGCCUACCAAGGCGACGAUCCGUAACUGGUCUGAGAGGAUGAUCAGCCACACUGGAACUGAGACACGGUCCAGACUCCUACGGGAGGCAGCAGUGGGGAAUAUUGGACAAUGGGCGAAAGCCUGAUCCAGCCAUGCCGCGUGGGUGAAGAAGGUCUUCGGAUUGUAAAGCACUUUAAUUUGGGAGGAAGGGCAGUAGGUUAAUACCUUGCUGUUUUGACGUUACCAACAGAAUAAGCACCGGCUAACUUCGUG
rnacentral:rRNA from 1 species